GCUAGCGACAGGCUUAACACAUGCAAGUCGAGGGGUAACAGGGUGUAGCAAUACACCGCUGACGACCGGCGCACGGGUGAGUAACGCGUAUGCAACCUGCCUUUGACAGAGGGAUAGCCCAUGGAAACGUGGAUUAAUACCUCAUAGUCUCUUUUUCCUUCCUGGGGAAUAGAGUAAAACGAGAGUGGUCAAAGAUGGGCAUGCGUCCUAUUAGGCAGUUGGCGGGGUAACGGCCCACCAAACCGAUGAUAGGUAGGGGUUCUGAGAGGAAGGUCCCCCACACUGGUACUGAGACACGGACCAGACUCCUACGGGAGGCAGCAGUGAGGAACAUUGGUCAAUGGUCGAGAGACUGAACCAGCCAAGUCGCGUGAGGGAAGACUGCCCUAUGGGUUGUAAACCUCUUUUCUACUGGGAGAAUAAGCCUUAUGUAUAAGGUGAUGACAGUACAGUAGGAAUAAGCAUCGGCUAACUCCGUGCCAGCAGCCGCGGUAAUACGGAGGAUGCGAGCGUUAUCCGGAUUUAUUGGGUUUAAAGGGUGCGUACGCGGCUUUAUAAGUUAGUGGUAAAAUUUCGGAGCUUCACUCCGGUCCGCCAUUAAAACUGUAGAGCUAGAGAAUGGGACGAGGUAGGCGGAAUAAGUUAAGUAGCGGUGAAAUGCAUAGAUAUAACUUAGAACUCCGAUAGCGAAGGCAGCUUACCAGACCAUAACUGACGCUGAUGCACGAGAGCGUGGGUAGCGAACAGGAUUAGAUACCCUGGUAGUCCACGCCGUAAACGAUGCUCACCGGCCCUUAGCGAUAAGACAGUUAGGGGUUAAUUGAAAGAAUUAAGUGAGCCACCUGGGGAGUACGUCGGCAACGAUGAAACUCAAAGGAAUUGACGGGGGCCCGCACAAGCGGAGGAACAUGUGGUUUAAUUCGAUGAUACGCGAGGAACCUUACCUGGGUUUAAAUGUAUAUUGCAUAAUCUGGAAACAGUUUUUCUCUUCGGAGCUAUAUACAAGGUGCUGCAUGGUUGUCGUCAGCUCGUGCCGUGAGGUGUCGGGUUAAGUCCCAUAACGAGCGCAACCCUUACCGUUAGUUGCUAGCAUGUAAUGAUGAGCACUCUAGCGGGACUGCCACCGUAAGGUGAGAGGAAGGGGGGGAUGACGUCAAAUCAGCACGGCCCUUACAUCCAGGGCGACACACGUGUUACAAUGGCCAUAACAGCGGGUAGCUACCGGGUGACCGGAUGCAAAUCUCGAAAAUUGGUCUAAGUUCGGAUUGGAGUCUGCAACCCGACUCCAUGAAGUUGGAUUCGCUAGUAAUCGCGCAUCAGCCAUGGCGCGGUGAAUACGUUCCCGGGCCUUGUACACACCGCCCGUCAAGCCAUGGAAGCUGGGAGUACAAGAAGUCCGUA
rnacentral:rRNA from 1 species